UUCCAGACUCCUACGGGAGGCAGCAGUGGGGAAUAUUGCACAAUGGGCGAAAGCCUGAUGCAGCAACGCCGCGUGAAGGAAGACGGUUUUCGGAUUGUAAACUUCUAUCAAUAGGGAAGAAAGAAAUGACGGUACCUAAAUAAGAAGCCCCGGCUAACUACGUGCCAGCAGCCGCGGUAAUACGUAGGGGGCAAGCGUUAUCCGGAAUUACUGGGUGUAAAGGGAGAGUAGGUGGCAAGGUAAGCGAUAUGUGAAAGCCUUAAGCUUAACUUAAGGAUUGCAUAACGAACUAUCUAGCUAGAGUACAGGAGAGGAAAGCGGAAUUCCUAGUGUAGCGGUGAAAUGCGUAGAUAUUACGCAGAACUCCGAUUGCGAAGGCAGCAUACCGGCGCCCAACUGACGCUGAAGCACGAAAGCGUGGGUAUCGAACAGGAUUAGAUACCCGAGUA
rnacentral:rRNA from 1 species